AGCAUGGUGGAGUGGUUUAAGUGCUGGACUAUGACUCUGGAGAUCAGGGUUUAAAUCCCUGCUCAGCCA